GAGGAAAAGAAACCAACAGGGAUUGCCUUAGUAGCGGCGAGUGAAGCGGCAAUAGCUCAAAUUUGAAAUCUGGCACCUUCGGUGUCCGAGUUGUAAUUUGAAGAAGGUAUCUUUGGUUUUGGCUCUUGUCUAUGUUCCUUGGAACAGGACGUCACAGAGGGUGAGAAUCCCGUGCGAUGAGAUGCCCAAUUCCAUGUAAAGUUCCUUCGACGAGUCGAGUUGUUUGGGAAUGCAGCUCUAAGUGGGUGGUAAAUUCCAUCUAAAGCUAAAUAUUGGCGAGAGACCGAUAGCGAACAAGUACUGUGAAGGAAAGAUGAAAAGAACUUUGAAAAGAGAGUGAAAAAGUACGUGAAAUUGUUGAAAGGGAAGGGCUUGAGAUUAGACUUGGAAUUUUCCAUUUAUGGAGCUUUCCGGGCCAGCAUCAGUUUGGAUGGCAGGAUAAUUGCGUUGGAAAGUAGCACCACUUCGGUGGUGUGUUAUAGACUUCGUCGAUACUGCCUAUCUAGACUGAGGACCGCGUCUUUGACUAGGAUGCUGGCGUAAUGAUCUUAAGCCGCCCG
rnacentral:rRNA from 1 species